CCCUUAGAUGUUCUGGGCCGCACGCGCGCUACACUGAUGCAUUCAACGAGUCUAAAACCUGCUCUGAUAGGGGUGGGUAAUCUUUUGAAUGUGCAUCGUGAUUGGGAUAGAUGAUUGCAAUUUUUCAUCUUCAACGAGGAAUGCCUAGUAAACGCAAGUCAUCAGCUUGCAUUGAUUACGUCCCUGCCCUUUGUACACACCGCCCGUCGCUCCUACCGAUUGAAUGAUCCGAUGAAUAUCAUGGAUUGAGGAUGCAAGUAGGUUCGCCUAUCUUCAUCUUCGAGAAGUGAAGUAAAUCUUAUCAUUUAGAGGAAAGAGAAGUCGUAACA
rnacentral:rRNA from 1 species